CAGUGUGCUAGUGACAUGACGAAUGCUGCGUCACUAGGGUGGAGUCAGUGAAAGAACCACCAUGAGCAGCAAACUGGACGACCUCCUAACUCACAUAGGAACAGGAAGAUGGAGUUACCUGCACACCAUCACCCUUGCAUACUCCUUUUCCCUCCCAGCCUACCAAGCUCUGGCCGCCGCAUUCAUAGCCCCUAAACUGGAAUUCUCCUGCCAGCACCCCGGUGGUGAUGCCGCUUCGCCCAACGUCAC